rnacentral:rRNA from 1 species
UACGUAGGAUGCAAGCGUUGUCCGGAUUUACUGGGCGUAAAGCGCGCGCAGGCGGCACUCUAAGUACGUCGUGAAAUAUCCCGGCUCAACCGGGAGGGUGCGAUGUAGACUAGGGAGCUAGAGGUCGGUAGAGGGGGGUGGAAUUGCUGGUGUAGCGGUGAAAUGCGUAGAUAUCAGGAGGAACACCUGUGGUGUAGACAGCUUACUGGACCACUUCUGACGCUGAGACACGAAAGCGUGGGUAGCAAACAGG